CUCCAUGAUAGUCACAAAUAUUCCCAUUUAUACCGCUCUAAAAUAAAUUCAAAUCCCAAGUCCAUGAUAGUCACAAAUCACCACAUUUAACUUUCACAAACUCCAAUUUAUUCUUACCGCCAUUUCCUCUCCCUCACCAGUAGUCACUACCAUUUGCCCUCCGUUUCUUCCUUCCAAGUUAAAUUUCGCUCCUGCAUUUUACUCGCUUUCCUGGUUAAACAAAUGGAGGCGUCCUUUGCACAUGAUCGAGAUUGUAACCAGCAAUCACAGAUAAGAUCAUCUAUGCCUGAAUUUGCAGAAGAGGAGGAGUCGUCCAUGGUCUAUAUGGCAUGUGUUAUGCACGGACACAGGAUUGGAGUUUCCUAUUAUGAUGCAAGUACACGCCAACUCCAUGUGCUGGAAAUCUGGGAAGAUGGAAGUCAAGAUUUUUCCUUGGUUGAUAUGGUUAAAUAUCAGGCUAAACCUGGAACAAUCUAUACCAGUACUAAAAGUGAGGAAUCAUUUUUGGCAGCCUUACAGAGAAGUGAUGGUACAAGCGACGCUCCCUCUAUAAAGCUUGUGAAAAGUUCACUUUUCAGCCAUGAGCAAGCAUGGCACAGAUUGAUGUACCUUCAAGUCACAGGGAUGGAUGAUGGUUUGAACAUAAAAGAGAGAGCUACUUUUCUAAGUUCUAUGAUGGACGUCAGCAGUGAUGUUCAAGUUCGUGCAAGUGGUGGCCUGUUAGCUGUGCUAGAAAAUGAGCGGAUCAUAGACACCCUAGAACUAAAUGAAUGUGGGAGCGCAUCAAUUGCAAUUGACUGCAUCUGUGAAAUUUCUCUGUAUCUUCUAAGCUAUAAGUUUUUCCGGGAAUGGCUUAACCCUUUUUUAAUCAUUUCUCUCCUCAUUCAUAUAUCUUUGUUUUGUAUCGGGGAUAAAAUUUGCGCAAUGAUGUGGGCCUUAACUAUCACUUUAAGUGACAAAUUUCUCAAAGUUGAUUCAGCUGCUCAUGAAGCAUUACAAAUAUUCCAAAUAGAUAAGCAUCCUAGCCAUAUGGGGAUAGGCAGAGCAAAAGAAGGGUUCUCUGUAUUUGGGAUGAUGAAUAAGUGUGUAACUCCAAUGGGUAGACGUCUCUUGCGGAACUGGUUUCUGAGGCCUAUAUUGGAUCUUGAUAACCUGAAUCGACGUCUUGAUACUAUAUCAUUCUUCUUGUCUGCUGAAGAAAUUUCUGCCUCUUUACGUGAAACACUGAAGUCUGUAAAAGAUAUUCCCCGCAUUCUCAAGAAAUUCAACUGUCCAAGUUCUAUAUCUACAAGUGCAGACUGGGCAGCUUUUCUGAAGACUGUUUGUGCUCUCCUGCACAUACGCAAAAUAUUUGAAGUUGGCAUUUCCGGAUCUCUGCUAGAAGAAUUGAAGUAUUUGAACUUGGAUAUUAUUGAACGGGCUGGAUUUUUCAUUUCAGUCGAUCUAGCCUAUGUCUGUGAAUUGGUAAUUGGCAUCAUUGAUGUUGAUAGAAGUAAAGAGAAGGGUUAUGAGACCAUAAUAAAAGAGGGUUUCUGUGAUGAGCUGGACGAACUGAGGCAGAUAUAUGACGGAUUGCCAGAAUUUCUUGAAGAGGUUUCGGCCUUGGAACUUGCACGACUUCCUUGCAUGUAUGGAGACGAGGGGGUUCCUUCUAUAAUUUACAUACAUCAGAUAGGUUACUUAAUGUGCAUUUUCAAUGAAAAACUUGAUGAAGAAAUGCUAGAGAGUCUUCAGGACUAUGAGUUUGCGUUUGCUGAUGAGGAGGGAGAACACAGGAGGUUCUUUUAUCAUACCGCAAAGACAAAAGAAAUGGAUAACCUUCUUGGAGAUAUAUAUCAUAAAAUCCUGGAUAUGGAGAGAGCUAUAACAAGAGACUUAGUGUCACAUAUUCAUCAAUUCUCAGUGCAUGUGCACAAGGCUGUUAGUUUUGCAGCUGAGCUUGACUGCAUUUUAGCAUUAGCCUUGGUUGCACGUCAAAAUAACUAUGUAAGACCAAAUUUGACUGCAGAAGAUUUGCUUGAUAUAAGGAGUGGAAGACAUGUUUUGCAGGAGAUGACAGUAGACACAUUUAUUCCAAACGACACAAAAAUUUCUCAUGAAGGAAGAAUUAAUAUCAUCACAGGCCCUAAUUAUUCGGGAAAAAGCAUCUACAUCAAGCAGGUUGCCUUGAUAGUUUUCCUUUCCCACAUUGGAAGUUAUGUACCAGCAGAUGCUGCCACAGUGGGUUUAACUGACAGGUCAUCUGUUUGUUGCCUAAUAUGUGAGAGAGUGAUAACACUGACAAGCAGGAUAUUUUGUGCCAUGGGGAGUAAGUUUAUGGCUGCUGAACAAUCGACAUUUAUGAUUGAUCUCCAUCAAGUAGGAAUUAUGUUAAGGCAUGCAAGUCCUCGGUCCUUAUGUUUAAUGGAUGAGUUUGGUAAAGGCACCCUUACAGAAGAUGGUAUCGGUCUCCUUGGUGGAACCAUAAAUCACUUUGCAUCAUGCUAUGACCCUCCAAAGGUCCUGGUUUGUACUCACCUGACGGAGAUAUUUGAUAAUAGUUGUUUACUGGAGUUAGACAGAAUCAAGUGUUACACUAUGAGUGUGCUAAGCCCGGAUAAAGAUUGUGCCAAUGUUGAAGACCUUGUAUUUCUUUAUAGGGUUGCAUUGUGCUCAGCUAGCUGGUGCAAUAAUACAACUUCCAACAAUACUGUAAUAAUUGAAGCACAACAACAGGUUACAACUCUAUGUGGAAGGAUUACCUGAUGAAGUUCUAGAGCGAGCAGCCGUAAUAUUGGAUACUCUCAAGAAUGACAACCAAGUUGAGAAACUUGGCAGUGAGAACAUAAUAGCUCAGGAUCAGCAGUACAAGGAUGCAGUGGAGAAGUUGAUAGCCUUCAAUGCUCAAAAAGGUGAUCUGUUCCAUUUCUUCGAAGAGAUCUUUUCUAGCCAGUCCUAAAAGGAGGGGUAUCGUACUUCUUUGAGUUCUCUUUCACAUUCCGUUGUGACUCGGUUAUAUAUGUGAUCAAUAAUGCAACUGUAUCCAUGAGACCUUUUGUGGAAUUAUAAUGUGUAACAGUGUAAGGCGUAGUCGGUAUCUUUUCUCUUGAGUCUCUUUGAGCUUUGGAAGGCAAAGAAAUUGGCUACUUUGAUAAAGGAGACUAAUUUCGUCAGCAUGGCUGAUGGCUCUCAUUUACUUAUCGAAAAAACUGAAUCGAAAUUUAAUUUUGGUUUGAUUUUU